GGUUUUGGCGGGUAGUAGAAGGGUUUGUCCCGGACCUCCUUGAGUAUGUCCUCGCGGGUUCUGUUCAGAGGAGUCCAUUCGGGCUCUGGUUUUGGUUCCCUGGUUGCUUUGUUUGGACCGGGGUCACUUCUGGACCCGGAUCCCUGUUGGCUGGUCCUCUUGGAACCUGAUUGCUGGAUGAAGUUUGUCUGUCUGUCUGGUUUGAAUUUCU
rnacentral:lncRNA from 1 species